AUGUAAGUUAUCAGACGUUAGUGAGUUUGUGUCAGCUUUUGCAAAUUAUAGGAUCUGGAAACCAGUGAAGGUUUGAAUUCUCCCAGCGUUGAUUGUACCUCCAGAAAGGAAAGAAUCAGAUUUGGAGACCAGCGGAGGUUUGACCUCUACCAGCUAAACGUGGGCUUCAACAUCUGAAGAGAGGGAGAUGAUCGAUCUGCUGGCUGAACUUCAGGCCGCGACAGUUCUCAAAGACAGCCUUUUACUGAAGACAUCCCAUCACGGUUUUCCCAAUUUAGGGAUUUAUACUACAUGUGCUCCUUUCAUGUAAGAUGUAUUCCCAUCAGGAGCGGUGGAAUGAGGGAAGCACAAUGCUCAGGGCACUUACUAACCUGCACAUGGUCAGGCUGACAGGCUACAGCAAGAAUCUGAAUGCUAAGCUCUUGUCUACGUUGAAGACCUGCAUUGAAUCUCUCAAUCCUGAUGUCUUGGGAGACCAUCAGCAAAUGAGGGCGAGUUCCAGCUUCGCCGACUCCACAUUUGCAACAGCUGUGGCUGUGUGAGGAGCUUCAGAGAGGACUCCAACUACCUCUCACUGAUCAGUCCUCAAAGAAUCCUCACUGACAACCUGCGGCAAUACUUCAAAGCAUCUUCAUUUGAAUGCUCCUGCAGUGAGUGUCUCAUCUGGGCAGCAGUUAGUAUUGUGUGACACCAGUAUCAAAAGAACCAGAUGGUCAAAAGCAUCAAGUAACAUGGCCAUGAACGGAUACAUGCUCUUCCAUGUGAAGAGCUCAGCUGCAGCAUGUUGAUGCUGUUUUAUAGAGGAAAGGAACAACUUCCAAAGUCAAAAAUUGGACUAGAGAAGAUGCUUCCGUGGUUUCUCCAGUCUCCAAGAACUCAUCCGCCUUCCACGAUUAGUACUGGAAUCUGGAACCUUUUUAAAAUAGCGAGACACUUUAUAAAGGAGGACAAGUGACAUUUCAAAAGUUUCAUAACACGGGAAUCUUCUUGCGCAACAAUAAUAGUCCAAAAGAAUGGAUCGGUUUCAUUCAAAGUCAAGCCAAAAGCUAAAUGUGGCUAUAAACGUUAUAUGCACUGUGUCCACUGCAAGUGGAUGUUUUUGUGGAGUUGUGGAGACAUAUGAAGAGAUGCUCAUCUAAACCAAUCAACACCAUGGCAGGAAGUGAGUUCUUGACCUUGCAGCACUGGUAACAUCUGCAGGCUCUAGAACUGAAGAUGGCAUGCUUA